AAGAACUGGCACACUUGGAGACGUCCCCGGCACCUGGCGAGGCGUCUCGCAGGGUCGGAGUCGACUCUCUCAGUGGCGGCAGAAAGGCAGAUUUCAAGUGAUACGCGCGAGCCGUCCCCACAGUACGCGGAGUCGUCCCCGCAAGUUAAAAAGCUGAGUUUCCGAGUCGUCCCCAGUGUAGUGGAGUCGACUCUCUCAGGGUUUUCCAGAGGAUGUCUUUUUCGGAGUUAAGGCAGCGGAGACGUCCCCUGAAAGAGCGGAGUCGACUCUCUCAGAGAAUUCCAGAAGACAUGUUUUUCGGAGUUAUAACGACGGAGUCGUCCCCAAGGCAGCGGAGUCGUCCCCAUGUAAAAAGU
rnacentral:lncRNA from 1 species